rnacentral:tRNA from 1 species
UCCCUGGUGGCUCAGAUGGUAAAGCAUCUGCCUGCAAUGCAGGAGACCAGGGUUUGAUCCCUGACUUGGGAA